rnacentral:rRNA from 1 species
GUAGGGUGCGAGCGUUAAUCGGAAUUACUGGGCGUAAAGGGUGCGCAGGCGGUUCCGCAAGUCAGGCGUGAAAUCCCGGGGCUUAACCUGGGAAUUGCGCUUGAAACUACGGGACUGGAGUAUGGCAGAGGGAGGUGGAAUUCCACGUGUAGCGGUGAAAUGCGUAGAGAUGUGGAGGAACACCGAUGGCGAAGGCAGCCUCCUGGGCCAAUACUGACGCUCAUGCACGAAAGCGUGGGGAGCAAACAGGAUUAGAUACCCUGGUAGUCCACGCCCUAAACGAUGAUGACUAGUUGUUGGAGGAGUUAAAUCCUUUAGUAACGCAGCUAACGCGAGAAGUCAUCCGCCUGGGGAGUACGGUCGCAAGAUUA